rnacentral:rRNA from 1 species
UUAAGCGACUAAGCGUACACGGUGGAUGCCCUGGCAGUCAGAGGCGAUGAAGGACGUGCUAAUCUGCGAUAAGCGUCGGUGAGGUGAUAUGAACCGUUAUAACCGGCGAUUUCCGAAUGGGGAAACCCAGUGUGUUUCGACACACUAUCAUUAACUGAAUCCAUAGGUUAAUGAGGCGAACCGGGGGAACUGAAACAUCUAAGUACCCCGAGGAAAAGAAAUCAACCGAGAUUCCCCCAGUAGCGGCGAGCGAACGGGGAGGAGCCCAGAGCCUGAAUCAGUGUGUGUGUUAGUGGAAGCGUCUGGAAAGGCGCGCGAUACAGGGUGACAGCCCCGUACACAAAAAUGCACAUAUUGUGAGCUCGAUGAGUAGGGCGGGACACGUGGUAUCCUGUCUGAAUAUGGGGGGACCAUCCUCCAAGGCUAAAUACUCCUGACUGACCGAUAGUGAACCAGUACCGUGAGGGAAAGGCGAAAAGAACCCCGGCGAGGGGAGAAAAAAGAACCUGAAACCGUGUACGUACAAGCAGUGGGAGCCUCUUAAUGGGGUGACUGCGUACCUUUUGUAUAAUGGGUCAGCGACUUAUAUUCUGUAGCAAGGUUAACCGAAUAGGGGAGCCGAAGGGAAACCGAGUCUUAACUGGGCGUUAAGUUGCAGGGUAUAGACCCGAAACCCGGUGAUCUAGCCAUGGGCAGGUUGAAGGUUGGGUAACACUAACUGGAGGACCGAACCGACUAAUGUUGAAAAAUUAGCGGAUGACUUGUGGCUGGGGGUGAAAGGCCAAUCAAACCGGGAGAUAGCUGGUUCUCCCCGAAAGCUAUUUAGGUAGCGCCUCGUGAAUUCAUCUCCGGGGGUAGAGCACUGUUUCGGCAAGGGGGUCAUCCCGACUUACCAACCCGAUGCAAACUGCGAAUACCGGAGAAUGUUAUCACGGGAGACACACGGCGGGUGCUAACGUCCGUCGUGAAGAGGGAAACAACCCAGACCGCCAGCUAAGGUCCCAAAGUCAUGGUUAAGUGGGAAACGAUGUGGGAAGGCCCAGACAGCCAGGAUGUUGGCUUAGAAGCAGCCAUCAUUUAAAGAAAGCGUAAUAGCUCACUGGUCGAGUCGGCCUGCGCGGAAGAUGUAACGGGGCUAAACCAUGCACCGAAGCUGCGGCAGCGACACUAUGUGUUGUUGGGUAGGGGAGCGUUCUGUAAGCCUGUGAAGGUGGCCUGUGAGGGUUGCUGGAGGUAUCAGAAGUGCGAAUGCUGACAUAAGUAACGAUAAAGCGGGUGAAAAGCCCGCUCGCCGGAAGACCAAGGGUUCCUGUCCAACGUUAAUCGGGGCAGGGUGAGUCGACCCCUAAGGCGAGGCCGAAAGGCGUAGUCGAUGGGAAACAGGUUAAUAUUCCUGUACUUGGUGUUACUGCGAAGGGGGACGGAGAAGGCUAUGUUGGCCGGGCGACGGUUGUCCCGGUUUAAGCGUGUAGGCUGGUUUUCCAGGCAAAUCCGGAAAAUCAAGGCUGAGGCGUGAUGACGAGGCACUACGGUGCUGAAGCGACAAAUGCCCUGCUUCCAGGAAAAGCCUCUAAGCAUCAGGUAACAUCAAAUCGUACCCCAAACCGACACAGGUGGUCAGGUAGAGAAUACCAAGGCGCUUGAGAGAACUCGGGUGAAGGAACUAGGCAAAAUGGUGCCGUAACUUCGGGAGAAGGCACGCUGAUAUGUAGGUGAAGCGACUUGCUCGUGGAGCUGAAAUCAGUCGAAGAUACCAGCUGGCUGCAACUGUUUAUUAAAAACACAGCACUGUGCAAACACGAAAGUGGACGUAUACGGUGUGACGCCUGCCCGGUGCCGGAAGGUUAAUUGAUGGGGUUAGCGGUAACGCGAAGCUCUUGAUCGAAGCCCCGGUAAACGGCGGCCGUAACUAUAACGGUCCUAAGGUAGCGAAAUUCCUUGUCGGGUAAGUUCCGACCUGCACGAAUGGCGUAAUGAUGGCCAGGCUGUCUCCACCCGAGACUCAGUGAAAUUGAACUCGCUGUGAAGAUGCAGUGUACCCGCGGCAAGACGGAAAGACCCCGUGAACCUUUACUAUAGCUUGACACUGAACAUUGAGCCUUGAUGUGUAGGAUAGGUGGGAGGCUUUGAAGUGUGGACGCCAGUCUGCAUGGAGCCGACCUUGAAAUACCACCCUUUAAUGUUUGAUGUUCUAACGUGGGCCCCUUACCGGGGUUGCGGACAGUGUCUGGUGGGUAGUUUGACUGGGGCGGUCUCCUCCUAAAGAGUAACGGAGGAGCACGAAGGUUGGCUAAUCCUGGUCGGACAUCAGGAGGUUAGUGCAAUGGCAUAAGCCAGCUUGACUGCGAGCGUGACGGCGCGAGCAGGUGCGAAAGCAGGUCAUAGUGAUCCGGUGGUUCUGAAUGGAAGGGCCAUCGCUCAACGGAUAAAAGGUACUCCGGGGAUAACAGGCUGAUACCGCCCAAGAGUUCAUAUCGACGGCGGUGUUUGGCACCUCGAUGUCGGCUCAUCACAUCCUGGGGCUGAAGUAGGUCCCAAGGGUAUGGCUGUUCGCCAUUUAAAGUGGUACGCGAGCUGGGUUUAGAACGUCGUGAGACAGUUCGGUCCCUAUCUGCCGUGGGCGCUGGAGAACUGAGGGGGCUGCUCCUAGUACGAGAGGACCGGAGUGGACGCAUCACUGGUGUUCGGGUUGUCAUGCCAAUGGCACUGCCCGGUAGCUAAAUGCGGAAGAGAUAAGUGCUGAAAGCAUCUAAGCACGAAACUUGCCCCGAGAUGAGUUCUCCCUGACUCCUUGAGAGUCCUGAAGGAACGUUGAAGACGACGACGUUGAUAGGCCGGGUGUGUAAGCGCAGCGAUGCGUUGAGCUAACCGGUACUAAUGAACCGUGAGGCUUAACCU